CUGUGCUAGACGGGGAGCUAGCGGUGCCUUGUAACCCGAAAUCCGCUUAUGCGGGGUCGAAAGUCCCCGUUGAGGAUUUCAAUCCGACGAGUAUCCGAAUCGCUUGGAGCCAAGAGGUGGACCCCACGUGACAGACGGUUAUGAACCCCGUCAGGUCCGGAAGGAAGCAGCGGUAAGUAAUUUAGUCUGUGUCGUGGCGCUCUCUGCCUUUUCCCAUCGAAGAGGACUUGUCGGGCGUUGGAUUCGAACGGGGAUGCACGG
rnacentral:SRP_RNA from 1 species